GUCCACGCCGUAAACGAUGAGUACUAGAUGUCGCAGGUAUUGACCCCUGCGGUGUCGUCGCUAACGCAUUAAGUACUCCGCCUGGGAAGUACGGCCGCAAGGCUAAAACUCAAAGGAAUUGACGGGGGCCCCGCACAAGCGGUGGAGUAUGUGGUUUAAUUCGACGCAACGCGACAGAACCUUACCCGGUCUUGACAUCUAGGUAACGCCUUAGAAAUAGGGAAGUACCCUUCGGGGAUCCUAAGACAGGUGCUGCAUGGCUGUCGU
rnacentral:rRNA from 1 species